rnacentral:rRNA from 1 species
GUACACUCCUGCGGGAGGCAGCAGUGGGGAAUAUUGCACAAUGGGCGCAAGCCUGAUGCAGCCAUGCCGCGUGUAUGAAGAAGGCCUUCGGGUUGUAAAGUACUUUCAGCGGGGAGGAAGGCGAUAAGGUUAAUAACCUUGUUGAUUGACGUUACCCGCAGAAGAAGCACCGGCUAACUCCGUGCCAGCAGCCGCGGUAAUACGGAGGGUGCAAGCGUUAAUCGGAAUUACUGGGCGUAAAGCGCACGCAGGCGGUCUGUCAAGUCGGAUGUGAAAUCCCCGGGCUCAACCUGGGAACUGCAUUCGAAACUGGCAGGCUAGAGUCUUGUAGAGGGUGGUAGAAUUCCAGGUGUAGCGGUGAAAUGCGUAGAGAUCUGGAGGAAUACCGGUGGCGAAGGCGGCCCCCUGGACAAAGACUGACGCUCAGGUGCGAAAGCGUGGGGAGCAAACAGGAUUAGAAACCCCAGUAGUCCCAUGAU